UUCUGUUGCAUGGAACCCCAGAGCCACAGUAUGUCUCCAUACCCGUCCACUUCCUUCCUGGGAACCAUCACUGACACUGUUCUCAGGAAGCUGUGCAAUCACUGUGGCUGAACUGCUAGAGGCACUGGCUAAGCAGGGGCACACAGACCUCCUUCCUGCUAACAUGGUUCCUUGGAGCGAGGUUGGCAUAUUUUUAGCUUACAUGGUCUCCUUUUACCAUAGCAAUAAGGAGAGAGAUGCCAUUUUUCACCUUCCAGGAACUAACCAAAUUAUGCUCAGUCCCUAGGCUGUGUGCUUUAUGCAAUGAUGUUUGGGGAAGGCCCUUAUGAUAUGGUGUUCCAGAAAGGUGACAGUGUGGCCCUUGCUGUGCAGAAUGACCUCAGCAUCCCACAAAGCCCCAGGCAUUCUUCAGCAUUGCGACAGCUGUUGGCCUCUAUGAUGACUGUGGACCCCCAGCAACGCCCUCACAUCCCUGUCCUCCUCAGUCAAUUGGAGGCAUUGCAGCCACCAGCUCCUGGCCAGCACACCACCCAAAUCUGAUCAAAUCAGUGAGCAUAUUGGGAAGAUGACCUUGAAUCAGCUCUCAUGCCUCAUUGGAACUUCUGAUCUACACAAGAUGGGUCUCACCAUUAGGGGCAAGGAUGGUGGGUCCUUGUAUAUUCUGCUCUUAUCCCAAUACCUGGGCAAGGAGCCUAGGGUGAGUUGGGGGUGGGGGGGAUGAAACAGAAAAUAUGGCUCAAAGCUGGGCUGCUGGGCGCACAUCAUGUUCUGCCUCCAGAUCUGGCAGCAGGAGAAUACAUAAAAAGUAGAAUAAAGUGAAAACAGUC
rnacentral:lncRNA from 1 species